rnacentral:rRNA from 1 species
CGGUAAGUCCGCUAACGAGCGCAACCCUCGCUGUGUGUUACAAGUGUCACACGGAACUGCCGGUCAUAAACCGGAGGAAGGUGGGGAUGACGUCAAGUCAGCAUGGCCUUUAUAUCCUGGGCUACACACACGCUACAAUGGGAAGGGACAAUAGGUUGCGAAGCCGCGAGGUGGAGCCAAUCCAGCAAAAUUCCCUCAGUUCAGAUUGCAGGCUGCAACUCGCCUGCAUGAAGUUGGAGUUGCUAGUAAACGCAGGUCAGCCAUACUGCGUUGAAUACGUUCCCGGGGCUU